UGUCCAACGGUAACUGACUGAGAGAGAAGAAAAGAGAUGCUCUCCUUAGCUAGUCAGUGGACUGGACUUUUAACUGUUUGCUGAUGAAAUGUUGACGGAGUUCGGUUUUUACAUUUGUUGAUAAUGUUAAGAGGUUAGCCAAGGAGUAACGUUACCGUAUAAACGGUACAUUUAAAGCGUGUGCGUACGAGCGCGCGCGUGUGUAUGUGUGCUACGUCUGUUAGCUCCGUCAGUUAGCUAGGUGUGUGUGUGUUAGCUAGGUCCGUUAGUGUGUGUGCGCGUGUGCGUGAGCUAGGUCCGUAGCGUGUGUGCGUACAUGUGUAUGCGUGCGUGCGUCAGCUAGGUCUGUUAGCUUCGUCUGUUAGCUCGGUCUGUUCGGUAAAUUUCAUCUCUCGUUUUUCUGCUGUUAGCUGCUGAGAGGAAACUGACGACCAAAGCGGGCCAGACAGAAAACACACGGAAAGAUUUCUGUGCAGAGCAGAGAAAGUGUACCUCCAAGGUUCAGGUGAGAAGGACUGGUGAGAUGGUCCAAGGAGAAAAUGAGUCCCUCAGUCCACAUGUGGCAUCAUUCAGCUGGGACAGAACAGCUAAUACCAGAUGUCGACUCUCGGCCAGGAAGAGGAUUCCAUCCCAGAAAGAAGUCUCUAAUUCAAGAUGAGGAAUGCAGUUAAACAGCCCAGUAAUGUUUCUGUGAGUAUUUUUGAACAGAAUCAACUUUACUAGGACGUCUUUGUCAGCAGAGGACAAAUGAAAAGCAAUAUUAGACUUGCAAGCAUUACAUUGUUUUGAUCAGCAACUCCUUCCUUUUAUUGUUUUUUGUUCCUAUAUAUGUGCUGCUACAGGUACAGUCAUUUUAACAAUAAAUCAUUUUAAAAUUAUGGGACGACUGCAGAGAGCGACUCUGAUCCAUCGCACCGAGUCCGAUGUUGGCUCUGCUGUCGAUACACAGAAGUACCUGGUCAUCAGGUUGGCUCAGUUUGAUCAGCAGUUGCUCAGAUAAAAAAACUGGCGGAAAAGUAGAGACACACAAUGACAAAGAAUUAGACAAACGACACGAAACAAAACAACAAUAAUGAUGCACAAAAUGACGUUUUAAAGAAACCGUUUUAAAGUUUGAAAAUGUGGAGAAAAAAAUCUAUUUUCACUUCUGAUGUCCACAUUUUCAACAAUUGUGGGAAACCUUUGGGGAAAAUCAUUCAGCGGAAAUGAAGUGCGUGAAAGGCUGGUUUUUCUGGAAAUUCUCCAUGAGGGCCCGGGUGACUGCAGAUGAAACUGCAGAUUUGUAGGAACCUGUGAUAAUGAUUUGUCCUUCUACUCCUUGUUUUGGGAUACUGAUAGAAGUCUUUGUGUCAAACUCCAGACGUUUACGUGUUUGUCCUUUUUUCCCAAUCAUAUAUUUGUAAAGAACACUUGAGACGUCAAUCUGUCUGUUCAAUGAAGUGGGUGUCACAGGUUUCAUCUGUUGGAAAAACGUUUUUGGACACCUUUAAAAUUUUACACAUUGUCAAAUACUAUCAUGAAAUAUCUGUGGAAAUAAUCUGUGUUUCAAACAAAUACAAAUCAUUCUUUUUUGUUUAGUGUUUACAAGGAAAACUAACAAAACUAAAUUCUACCAAAAUGACCCAAAUAUCCAAAUUUCUUGUUUUUAUGGAAUCAAUCAAUUUUAAGUUUUUAGUGUCUUUUUUAAGGAUUUGUUUAGUUUUAUGGCUGUGAUUGUAAUAAUAAUAAUAACAAGACGACAUGGUCAUCAAUAUCCCCCGCCACAUGUGAUGUCUAUGAGUCUAUAUCCAAAAUAGUGAUCAAGGGCCAUAACUCUGUUAAAUAUUAUCACACAGGUCUCAUUUUCGAACUUGAUCAAGGUGUCCAUGGUGUGAAGCUACACACUAAAUUUCGUAAUCCUAGCUGUAAUAGUUUCCGAGAAAAGCUGUCCCCUUCAUGACGGACACAUGGAUGGACAGACGGAGGCCAAACCUCUAUCCCCCUUUUCCACUUCGUGGAGGUGGGGGAUAAUAAUGCAUCAAAUUUAUAUAGCGCUUUUUUAGUCACUCAAAGAUGUUUUACAAGAUGGACAGGGGACACACACAAAAAAAAAAAAAAAAAUUCAGCAAAAGCCAAAUCGAACAAGUGGGUUUUUAGAAGAGUUUUGAAUAUCGAAAGUGAGUCAGAGUUGCGGAUGGGAGGUGGAAGUGAAUUCCAGAGUUGGGGGGCAGCGGCUGCGAAGGUUCGGUACCCCAAAGUCCGGUGCUUAGUACGGAUGAUGGGCGUCAGGAGGUUUGAGUCUGCAGAGCGAAGGUGACAAGAGGGUCGGUGUUGUUGGAGGAGGUCAGAGAGGUAAGAAGGGGGCAGGUUAUGGAGGGACUUGUACGUGAGGAGGAGGAGUUUGAAAUGGAUACGAUAUUGAACCGGGAGCCAGUGAAGCUGUUUGAGGAUGGGGGUGAUGUGCUCCCUGGAGCGGGUGUGAGUGAGAAGGCGAGCAGCAGAAUUCUGGAUAUAUUGUAAUUUUUGCAGUUGAGUGGAGGGAAGACCAAAGAGAAGGCUAUUGCAGUAGUCAAGUCUGGAGGUAAUGAAAGCAUGAAUGAGUAUUUCAGCAGUGGUGAGGGAGAGUGAGGGGCGGAGACAUGCAAUGUUGCGGAGGUGAAAGAAAGACGUUUUGGUGACGUACUAAAAUACAUCACUAAAAUAAAUCAAUAAAGACCUAAGAGUGACUCCUAAUGCAAUAUUUCAAAAAUGUAUGGGGUGUCCGAAAACGUAUUUUCACUGCUUUAUAUCUGUAAGACACAUUCUGAGAUGUCCCCUGAAGGGUCUACAGAAUAACCUUCAGGGAACAUUAUCAGAACAUUCCCUCAGGACACAAAGAAUAUUCCUCUGUUGCUUUACCCCCAGGGCUAGUCUUAUCUGAGGAGUCAUUUUGAUCAGUAUUGUUACUUAUGCAUAAGAUUGACUAUUUUAAAAUGUUGUCAUGCUCUCACUUAAACUGCAACAUAAAUGUUGGAUGAUAAAUACAGGAAUGAUGUCUGAUUUUUUUAAAAACUGUUUAAUUAUUACCAAUUAAUUUUGCAUUGAUGGGCCUUGGACAAAGGUAGUGUCUACAGAUACACUUUCCAUUUGCCAGACAGAUGCGGACCCGUACGCGAGUCAAGAAGCUGCUAACCACUGCAAACUGUUGAAAGGUAAGCAAAGGUUAAGGUUAGGGUUAGUGUUAGGGUCAGGUUUAGGGUCCGUACCUGUAGUACCGAUGCUACGGGUCCGUACCGCUAGCGUCUACCGGGAGUCACGUGACCAGAUCUCGCGUAUCUGAUUGGCAAAUGGCAAGUGCCGUACCCGUAGUCCACAGGCUACGGGUACGGGUCCGUACCUCUAGCAACAACCUUGGACAAAAGUCUCAACUUCAGUAUAACUUCAUUAUAUGGUUUUGUUUAAAUUUCUGACCCAACAAUGUCAGAUCAGCAGGACUACAAUAACAACACAUUCAUAGGGUGGAUUUCUUCCCUAAUUAUCUCUCCUCCUACAAUUUCACAUAUUACAACAAUAAUGCAUGACUCUAAUGUAAUUACUUAAAAAAGGUUUGUGUAUAUGUUUUCUCUAAAAAAAAACACAAAGUUUUGUUUUGUACUGUCAGAAUAUGACGUCAACGUUCCUUAAAACCUCUUCUUUUGAUUUCCUCCCACCAGUAAAAUCAUCUCAAUGCUAUCUAAAAUGAGUGAGCAUCAUCCAUCAAAACACCUGAAAUGAAAGUGACUGCAUCUAAUGGACAGGAGUGGAAUUUAUUGUUCAGCCUAAUCUUCUUAUGUGGAGUUAUCCCACCCUAAUAUUCAAGUACGUGUCUGCUGUAAACACAAGUAACAUGUAAACAUUUGGUCAAUAGAGGUGGGUACUCUGCAAUGAAAACACAGCUACAAUGAUCAGUCAGUGAACCGAUUAGCUGUCAACCAGAGCUAUUUUUGUGAUCGAUUAGUCAGUUUGAGUACACUUUUAAGGAAAAAUUUCUCUGAUUACAGCUUCUUUAAUGGCUGGAUUCUCUCUACUUCUAUGAAAAUAAGCAGCUUGUAGAAAACACGAUUCAAGGGGAUGUCACCUUGAGCUGUGGAAAACACCGAUACAUCACAUUUUUCAUCUUUUUCUGAAAUUUUAAAGACCAAACAACAAAUCUGUUUAUCAAGAAAAACAGUCAACACAUCAAUCAACAAGUAAAAUUCUGAGAAGUUGCAGCUCUGAUACAGACCAUGCACUUUUUCAAUGCAUUCAUUUACAUUUCACAUGUUGCAAUUUGUAACGUGAUUAAAAUAAUUGAUAUUGACUUAAGAACAAGUCCAGGGUAGACUGCACAAUGAUUCAGCAAAUAGUAUAUUUCAACACAGAACUAAUACAGUCGAAAAAAAAUCAUUUUUUAAAUACUUAAACAGUUGUAACUUUCACUUUGGAGUUUAAUCUACUAAUACAAACAUCUUUGCAUAAUUAGAGGAGAGCAAAUGCAAAGGAUCUCAGUGAGUGAAAGAUGAUAAAGCAUGAGGUAAAAGAUUGAAAUAUAUGUGAGAGAAUAUUAAAAGAUUUUCUCAUGACAUAAACACGCAGGAAAACACGGUCAUCAAUAAGUAGCCCUGAUGUGUGUCAUAAUGGAAACAUUUGAGACUGGUUGCACAGGUAGGGUUACUGUAUGAUUUUGUGUGUGUGUGUGUGUUUAAACAUUUAAACUUCAUUCUUAAUUUGUUCUGUUUUUGACAACUAUUGAGAAUGUCACAGCGCUUCAUUAAUCACAAAGAUGAAGAAACAUCAAAGCCAGAGAAAACACUGGUCCUGAAUGACAAAAUGUUGUUUCUUCAGAUGUGUCUUAGUGUGACCUUGGAUUGUUCUUAUCAAGACUUCAUUGUAAACUGGGCAAAUGUUCUUCUUACACAGUGUUUUAACCAUAGGUGAGUGGUUUGUGCUCAGAAACUGAAAGUUUGUCCGACAAUACGCACGACUUAAAACAAUCCUUGUAUCAAAAUCUAGCUGGUUGUUAUUUUUAUUUUAGGUUUUGUGUUGCAUAUCCCCAAAAUAUGUAUGAAAUUAACCCAUUAGAACCCAGACCCAUUUUUCCUUAAAGGACUUAAUGAGUUAAGGUCAGACAUAAGGCUUUACAAGGAAGAGACUGGGGCACUCAAAGUGCUUGUUACACUGGUGUAACCGUGGGUUCUUAUGGGUUAAAUUCCCUCAUGGCAAGUCAGAGGACAGGUAAUACUCCAGCAGAGAAAGCAUGGAAGAACUGUACCUGCUGCACAAACACUGUGGGGAAUGUAGCGUCAAUAAAUCUAUCACAUACAGCGCCCUCCAUAAUUAUUGGCACCCCUGGUUAAGAUGUGUUGAAAACCUUAAAAUAAAUUCAGUUUUCAUUGCAGAAGCCUACUCUCACACUGGAAAUUGUAGAAAAAUGUAUUAUAGGAGAAGAUUAGGUGCUGUUUUGUUGGCAAAAGGCGGUUGUACAAAGUGUUAACAUCAGCGGUGCUAAUAAUGGUGGCACACAUGAUUUGAUGUAAAAGAAUUAUUUCUUAAUGUGAUUUUUUUUCCUCACUGAAUGAAUGCACUCGAAUUAAAGGUUGGAUUUUCCUCUUUUUUUAUUGUGGUCCUAUAUUGUUUAGAAAAAAAUGAAUUUAUAGAAGCUAAAGAACACGUCUUAACCAGGGGUGCCAAUAAUUAUGGAGGGCGCUGUAGAAAACAU